rnacentral:rRNA from 1 species
GAUGAACGCUGGCGGCGUGCUUAACACAUGCAAGUCGAACGGGAAUUCUCUUAUUGAGACUGCGGUCGAUUUAACUAAAUUCUAGUGGAGGACGGGGGAGUAACGCGUGGGUAACCUGCCUUAUACAGGGGGAUAACAGUCAGAAAUGGCUGCUACUACCGCAUCAGCGCACAGAGCUGAAUGGCUCAGCGUGAAGAACUCCGGUGGCAUAGGAUGGACCCGCGUUGGGUUAGCUGGUUGGUGGGGUAACGGCCCACCAAGGCGACGAUCCAUGGCCGGCCUGAGAGGGUGAACGGCCACGUUGGGACUGAGGCACAGCCCAGACUCCUACGGGAGGCAGCAGUGGGGAAUAUUGCACAAUGGGGCAAACCCUGAUGCAGCGGCGCCGCGUGAAGGAAGAAGUAUCUCGGUAUGUAAACUUCUAUCAGCAGGGAAGAUAGUGACGGUACCUGACUAAGAAGCCCCGGCUAACUACGUG